rnacentral:tRNA from 1 species
GGAAGCGUGGCGUGGCAGAGCGGUUUAAUGCACCGGUCUUGAAAACCGACGAGGGUGUGAGUCCUCCGUGAGUUCGAAUCUCACCGCUUCCGCCA